rnacentral:rRNA from 1 species
ACGGGAGGCAGCAGUGGGGAAUAUUGGGCAAUGGGCGAAAGCCUGACCCAGCGACGCCGCGUGAGGGAAGAAGGUCUUCGGAUUGUAAACCUUAGUCAACAGGGAAGAAGCAAGUGACGGUACCUGUGGAGGAAGCCACGGCUAACUACGUGCCAGCAGCCGCGGUAAUACGUAGGUGGCGAGCGUUAUCCGGAUUUACUGGGUGUAAAGGGCGUGUAGGCGGCUCUGUAAGUCAGAAGUGAAAUUCCCGAGCUCAACUUGGGCGCUGCUUCUGAAACUACAGAACUUGAGUACUGGAGGGGAAAGCGGAAUUCCUAGUGUAGCGGUAAAAUGCGCAGAUAUUAGGAGGAACACCGGUGGCGAAGGCGGCUUUCUGGACAGUAACUGACGCUGAGGCGCGAAAGCGUGGGGAGCAAACAGGAUUAGAUACCCUGGUA